rnacentral:rRNA from 1 species
GACGAACGCUGGCGGCGUGCCUAAUACAUGCAAGUUGAGCGCUGAAGGUUGGUACUUGUACCAACUGGAUGAGCAGCGAACGGGUGAGUAACGCGUGGGGAAUCUGCCUUUGAGCGGGGGACAACAUUUGGAAACGAAUGCUAAUACCGCAUAAAAACUUUAAACACAAGUUUUAAGUUUGAAAGAUGCAAUUGCAUCACUCAAAGAUGAUCCCGCGUUGUAUUAGCUAGUUGGUGAGGUAAAGGCUCACCAAGGCGAUGAUACAUAGCCGACCUGAGAGGGUGGUCGGCCAAAUUGGGACUGGGACACGGCCCAAACUCCUACGGGAGGCAGCAGUAGGGAAACUUCGGCAAUGGACGAAAGUCUGACCGAGCAACGCCGCGGGAGUGAAGAAGGUUUUCGGGUCGUAAAACUCUGUUGGUAGAGAAGAAAGUUGGUGAGAGUGGAAAGCUCAUCAAGUGACGGUAACUACACAGAAAGGGACGGCUAACUACGUG